GUGCCAGCCGCCGCGGUAAUACGUAGGUGGCAAGCGUUAUCCGGAAUUAUUGGGCGUAAAGCGCGCGUAGGCGGUUUUUUAAGUCUGAUGUGAAAGCCCACGGCUCAACCGUGGAGGGUCAUUGGAAACUGGAAAACUUGAGUGCAGAAGAGGAAAGUGGAAUUCCAUGUGUAGCGGUGAAAUGCGCAGAGAUAUGGAGGAACACCAGUGGCGAAGGCGACUUUCUNGGUCUGUAACUGACGCUGAUGUGCGAAAGCGUGGGGAUCAAACAGGAUUAGA
rnacentral:rRNA from 1 species